GACGAACGCUGGCGGCGUGCCUAAUACAUGCAAGUCGAACGCAGUGGGGACGGGUGCGUAACACGUGGGUAACCUCCCAUCAGAGGGGAUAACACUUGGAAACAGGUGCUAAACCGAUAUUGAUGGAGGUCGCCGCGGUGCAUUAGCUAGUUGGUGAGGUAACGGCUCACCAAGGCCACGAGGCAUAGCCGACCUGAGAGGGUGAUCGGCCACACGGGGACUGAGACACGGCCCAGACUCCUACGGGAGGCAGCAGUAGGGAAUCUUCGGCAAUGGACGAAAGUCUGACCGAGCAACGCCGCGUGAGUGAAGAAGGUUUUCGGAUCGUAAAACUCUGUUGUUAGAGAAGCGGUAUCUAACCAGAAAGCCACGGCUAACUACGUGCCAGCAGCCGCGGUAAUUC
rnacentral:rRNA from 1 species